UACGUAGGUGGCAAGCGUUGUCCGGAAUUAUUGGGCGUAAAGCGCGCGCAGGUGGUUCUUUAAGUCUGAUGUGAAAGCCCCCGGCUCAACCGGGGAGGGUCAUUGGAAACUGGGAGACUUGAGUGCAGAAGAGAAGAGCGGAAUUCCACGUGUAGCGGUGAAAUGCGUAGAGAUGUGGAGGAACACCAGUGGCGAAGGCGACUUUCUGGGCUGUAACUGACGCUGAGGCGCGAAAGCAUGGGGAGCAAACAGG
rnacentral:rRNA from 1 species